GAAGAUUUCCAACUUAUGAUGAUCCGUACUUACGACUGUGAUUAUUUACAACAAAAAUCCAUACUUACGACAGCCACAGUCAAUGAUUUUACAGUAAUUUACAACCCAAUCAACCAGAUAACUGAAAUGUUGCCAGAAUGGAAGUAUAAUGUAUUUUCACGAUAUAGUACAAUAUUCAUAUUUAGUUUUAGAUCUCAUAUCUUGGGAUUUUUCAAGUGUCCAGCUACUCCCCAUUCAUUCCCCUACUAAAUGCAUCAUAGCAUGGAAUUUGGAUUCCAAAUAUUUCUGAAAAGUUUUUGAUGGAUACAGCCCAGACAUUAAUUCACAUACUGUAAAAUCACUGGCUCUACCACUGAUGUAGACAAUUCAUAAUUGGGCCUGGAAUAGAUACCAUUAUAUAGUAGUCAGCCAAUGAUUCAGAAGUGCUAUUAA
rnacentral:lncRNA from 1 species